AUAAUCUACAUAAACAACCUAAUCCGUCCUUACAUUUACAUUACCAACCAGUCAUGCUCUCACAUCCAGCAGAUAUUGUGUGUUGCGCUGCGGUUCUUUGCAAAUGGAAGUUUUUAUAUAAUGUCAGAGAUGCAGAGUAAGACAACUGUAUGGAGGACAGUCAGAAAAGUUUUCCUGAUCCUGAAACGGCUUUGACUCAUCAUUGUGGACAUAAACCUGUCAGAACAUCAAGGAGGAUCCACAGGAUUACAGGUGAAUGAUGUAGAGAUCUGUUACAUUCAUUUUAAAUCAUAUUCUGUUAAUGACAUUGUGCUGCAGCCUCAGACUGGGAUUCGUCAUUUUAAUUUCUUUUAGGAUUUCCCAGUGUGAUUGGCUGCAUAGAUGCACACACAUCCCCAUCACAGCUCCCUCACAUCAUGAACAGGAAGUCCAUUCACAGCAUAAAUGUGCAGAUCAGAUGUGAUGCUGCAUACAUCAUUUCUAAUGUGGAGGCCACGUGGUCUGGGUCUGUUCAUGACUCCAGGAUUUAUGGAGAGUCUAACCUGAGCAACAGACUGCAGCGUGGAGAGUUUGAUGGCCUUCUGCUGGGUGACAGGGGUUACCAUGACAACCCAGGCUGAUGACCUCAUACCCUGACCCUGAACCAGGCCCCCAACAGAACUUCAACCGGACUCACUGCAGGACCAGAGCCCGGGUGGAGAUGACCAUAGGCCUGCUGAAAGCCCGUUUCCAGAGUCUACGUCUCCUCAGGGUGACCCCUGAGAGGGCCUGUGAUAUUACUGUGGCAUGUGUUGUUCUUCAUAAUUACCACUAUUAGAGGAGAGCAACACCCUGCCCUACAAACUGAAGACCCAG